rnacentral:misc_RNA from 1 species
UACACCUCCACUUCACUGGCUGGCGUGUGCAACAGACGCUCCCCCUUUCCUCUACCUCUCUCUCGCUCGUCAUUACACGACUUCUCUUCCGCGUCUUCUCGUUCUUCAAGUUGGUUCAUCGGCUUGAGGGUGUGCGUGCCUUUCAAGAUGAACGUGGAGGUGACGGGGCGGUGUUUCUUUACAGGAGAUGACUACUACAUAUCUCUUCCCAUCACCAACAAGGCGGCCAACCGCGGAGAGCCACGACAGCUUCUAUGCAGUGAGAUGAUUCACUGGGACGACUACCGGCAAGAGCGCGGCAUCAACGACGGCAAACCACCGAUGCAGCAACUGUUUGCCUCUUCUUACGCGGAGCCACUCGUGCGCACCUUCGCCCUAGGCAAUGAUACAUACGUGACGCAGGUGACGGGUGUGUCGGCGACCCAGGCCGGCUCAUCCAGUCAAAUGUUCAGUGCGGAGAUGCUGCACUGGGACGACUACUGCGCAGCGCGUGGCAUCCACACAGGGGAACCGACCAUGGCAAGUCUCUUUCGCCCCUUUGAAAGCAAAAACAUUCUUGUGUUUGACUUGAAUGAGCGCAAGCUCACUGAGUUUGAAGGGAACAGCGUCGCGCUCAUCUCAUAUGGCGCCGAUCGACAGACGUACUGCAGUGAGAUGGAGCACAGGGACGAUUAUGUCAGAGCAAAAACUGGGCAGGCACCGCAGCCCAGCAUGGCGUCGUUGUUCGCUUGAUGGCCCGAAGGUAGGCGAAGGCGUUCAGACGUGACGAGGCGGCUUUCUGCUGCUGCUGCUGCGCCUGCGCCGCACUCCUUUUCGCAUACAAUCGACACAUGACCAAGCCAUGAAGCGACGCGCGUCUUUCCGUCUCUCUCCACGAUUCUAUCUCAUAGCAGAGGAAUAUCUCGAGUGCACGUGUGCCCAUGCACAGAAGUCGGCGUUGAUGAACUCCAUUUCCUUUAGCUUGCCGGUCUAUUUGAGCCCUUGAUACCGGCUACUUCACGCUGCGUAGUAUCUCAGCGCCCAGCACACCGCACGCCGUAUGCGGUGUAUGCUCAGGCAGCUCCCUCUCCCCCCCUCCUAUCCCCUGCCAGCGCCGGAGCCCCACUUCUCGUGGUAACAAGGGCCGAGAGUGCCUACGGCGUGGCAGGGGGGGGGGUCUGUGCGAUGCAUGGCCACACUGAUGUGUCGGCGGUGGGGCCCUGGGUGGCGUUGCGUCGGGGUGGCCCGCGACAGCGAACACGCUUGUGCCGUCCAUGUGGUAGGCAGGGUGUCGGCGUGGCUGGAACGCAUUGCACCCGGCCCCGACUGCCGUUGCUGGUGCGGGGGGAGGGGGGGGGGCUGUGUGCCACCCCUACGGGGAUGCACAGCAGGUGGGCGCCGGCGUGACGGGUGCGGGUGUGAGGCGACCUGCAGAGCGCGGCGGUGGUGUGGAGUAUGAGGCAGGGGCCGUGCUCGGAUGGCUGAGCCGGCGCGUUGCUGUAGGGCGUGUGUGUGCAGGGCUGCUUGGCACCACGCGAUGUGCCCGUGACAGGGCCCGGCAUAGCGUGGAGUGCAGCUAAGCUCCGAUGCACCGUGACAGAGAAUGGACGGCCUGAAAAGC